AGUUCAAGUUCAGGAAGGUGCCUGUGCUGAUGGUCGACGGCGAGCAGCUCCACCAGACCACCGUCAUCUGCAGGUUCCUGGGAGAGAGGCAUAACCUGGCCUCGGGAGACCUUUGGACGAUCACUCGGCAGAUGGAAGUCGUCGAGCUCUCCACGACCUCACGAACAGCAUGGGGAUGGCCUUGCUGGCCAGAAUACAAGGGAACGAGGAGCGGCAGAGGGUGAUGACGGGCUGACAGAGGUUCAAUUCCCUGUCGUCUUGAGCAACAUCGAAUGCAGGAUAACCGACCGAGGGUGGAUCCUCUCUCAGCAGAUGACGUGGGUUGAUGUGUUCAUAGCAGCUUACCUGGAUGUGUACUAAAAUUACUUCCAGGUGUGGUGGGCAGGUUCCCACUCUGUGAGGCUCUCCGGCGCCGCGUCCAGGACAUACCAAUUAUUAAGACGUGGCGACAAGAGAGGCCGGCGUGGCAUCCCUUUGAGGACCCAAAGGUUUGGUGGCGCCAAGCGACGGAUCGCAAUAGACGUCUUUCCGAUGUCGGGCCCGGAAAAUGUGAUCCUAGAAUGCAAACUCCAUUUAUGUACCGCUUUUUUAUUGGUUCAGCACAUUCAUAAUAUCAUGAGUCAUA